rnacentral:rRNA from 1 species
UUGGAGGGCAAGUCUGGUGCCAGCAGCCGCGGUAAUUCCAGCUCCAAUAGCGUAUAUUAAAGUUGUUGCAGUUAAAAAGCUCGUAGUUGAAUUUCGGGAUCAGAUUGUCGGUCGUGCCUCGGUACGCACUGGUAUUAUUGGUUCCUACCUUCUGAAGAACCGCGAUGUCAUUAAUUUGGUGUCGUGGGGAAUCAGGACUGUUACUUUGAAAAAAUUAGAGUGUUUAAAGCAGGCUUACGCUUGAAUACAUUAGCAUGGAAUAAUGAAAUAGGACGUUUGAUUCUAUUUUGUUGGUUUCUAGGAUUGACGUAAUGAUUAAUAGGGAUAGUUGGGGGCAUUAGUAUUCAAUUGUCAGAGGUGAAAUCCUUGGAUUUAUUGAAGACUAACUACUGCGAAAGCAUUUGCCAAGGAUGUUUUCAUUAAUCAAGAACGAAAGUUAGGGGAUCGAAGACGAUCAGAUACCGUCGUAGUCUUAACCAUAAACUAUGCCGACUAGGAAUCAGACGAUGUUAAUUUUUUAAUGACUCGUUUGGCACCUUACGGGAAACCAAAGUGUUUGGGUUC